GUCCUCAUAGUUCAACGGAUAGAACGAGGGACUCCUAAGCCCUAGAUCGAGGUUCAAUUCCUCGUGGGGACA
rnacentral:tRNA from 1 species